GCUUAUGGCCAUACCGCUCUGAGCAAGACCGAUCUUGUCAAAUCUCGGAAGCUAAACAGAGAUGGGCAUGGUUAGUACUUGAAUGGGAGACUGUCUGGGAAUGCCGUGUGCUGUAAGUU
rnacentral:rRNA from 1 species